AGUGAACGCUGGCGGUAGGCCUAACACAUGCAAGUCGAACGGCAGCACAGUAAGAGCUUGCUCUUACGGGUGGCGAGUGGCGGACGGGUGAGGAAUACAUCGGAAUCUACUUUUUCGUGGGGGAUAACGUAGGGAAACUUACGCUAAUACCGCAUACGACCUACGGUUGAAAGCAGGGGAUCUUCGGACCUUGCGCGAUUGAAUGAGCCGAUGUCGGAUUAGCUAGUUGGCGGGGUAAAGGCCCACCAAGGCGACGAUCCGUAGCUGGUCUGAGAGGAUGAUCAGCCACACUGGAACGGAGACACGGUACAGACUCCUACGGGAGGCAGCAGUGGGGAAUAUUGGACAAUGGGAGCAAGCAUGAUCCAGCAAUACCGCGUGGGUGAAGAAGGCCUUCGGGUUGUAAAGCCAUUUUGUUGGGAAAGAAAAGCAGCAGGUGAAUACCCCGCUGUUCUGACGGUACCCAAAGAAUAAGCACCGGCUAACUUCGUG
rnacentral:rRNA from 1 species